CCCUUAGAUGUCCUGGGCCGCACGCGCGCUACACUGAGUGUCUGAGAUACGAGUCUGCCUGGUCCGGCAAGGUCUAGGUAAUCGCUAAAAGACACAUCAUGCUUGGGAUAGAUUAUUGCAAAUAUUAAUCUUGAACGAGGAAUUCCUAGUAAGCGCAAGUCAACAGCUUGCGUUGAUUACGUCCCUGCCCUUUGUACACACCGCCCGUCGCUACUACUGAUUGGAUGUUUAAGCGAGGUUCUCGAACUGCUAGCGACUUAGCUUCGGUGAGGUCGCAGUGUGGGUAGUGAACCUAGCUUUGGUGUCUAGAGGAAGUAAAAGUCGUAACA
rnacentral:rRNA from 1 species